UACGUAGGGUGCAAGCGUUUGUCCGGAAUUAUUGGGCGUAAAGAGCUCGUAGGCGGUCUGUCGCGUCGGCUGUGAAAACCCGGGGCUCAACCCCGGGCCUGCAGUCGAUACGGGCAGACUAGAGUGCGGUAGGGGAGACUGGAAUUCCUGGUGUAGCGGUGAAAUGCGCAGAUAUCAGGAGGAACACCGGUGGCGAAGGCGGGUCUCUGGGCAACAACUGACGCUGAGGAGCGAAAGCGUGGGGAGCGAACAGG
rnacentral:rRNA from 1 species